CACAACAAAAGGGAGUUUAAAUAAGGACGUUAUUUCCAUUCGAAAGAGUCACACAGCCGAGGAAGCAAAAUCCUCGCAAGCGACUUACAGAGACGAUAAAAUAAUCACAAAGUUGCACCAAGGAGAAACCUAAGCCUGGAGGAGAAGCUUGUGACUGUGAGGUCACCGGAGCAAAUCGAGAGGCAGCAGCGGCGGGCUCGGAGCGGGCCACACCGCCAGGACGUUCCGGGCACAUCACUGAGCUCCUCGUUGUUCCAGAGGAGCUGCAGGGGAGAUUCAACUCCAAUAUCUCACCUUUCCGUCGUCCAUGACCAGAAUGCGGUCUGCGUACACUACAGUGUUGAUGCGAUGUGCGAUGGUGAGCAUGGUGCAGUCGUG